ACGUAGGGGGCAAGCGUUAUCCGGAUUUACUGGGUGUAAAGGGAGCGCAGGCGGUCUGGCAAGUCUGAUGUGAAAUCCCGGGGCUCAACUCCGGAAUUGCAUUGGAAACUGUCAGACUAGAGUGCCGGAGAGGUAAGUGGAAUUCCUAGUGUAGCGGUGAAAUGCGUAGAUAUUAGGAGGAACACCAGUGGCGAAGGCGGCUUACUGGACGGUAACUGACGCUGAGGCUCGAAAGCGUGGGGAGCAAACAG
rnacentral:rRNA from 1 species